UUACACUGUGCGUUAGUAUCCAACACGGAUAUCUGUCGUGUAGAAGUCUAAAUACUAGUUAACCUCUAAAACUGGAUAUAUUUUCUUCAGAUAAAAUAUUUAUAGGUCUCAGAAAAUGGAGGAUAGAUAAUUGAUCCACUGGUGUACCUAUCGUUCGUAUUGGAACCCAUAAAAGUUGUUCAGCGUCCCUUAACAAGUAGAACUUUCGUGUUGAGGUUGUCGGAAACAAGAAAAUGGAAAUUGUAGAAGAAAAGAGAAAACGACAAAAAGUGCAGUUGUCAUGGUAAUGGAUCAGAAAUAAAUAACAAGCCAUAAACUCAUUAUUCACAUUAUGUAAGUAUCUACUUCUCAUACAUUACAUAGGCCUACAUGACACGUAUAAUAAUGAGUUAGGUCAUUUGACAAAACCAUAAUUUAAAAAAAAGAAAAGUCAGUGGAAACCGAGCUUGUUCGAUUCUACCAAAUGUAAAAAGAAUCAUACUGCAGUAAUAUUUGAAUCCAGUUAUUUCACCUUUGCAUGUGUUUUCAAUCACAAGCCUCAAGUUUAGAAUUGCAUUGCAAAGUAAUCUCUCUGUACAGUUUCUUCUUAAACGCUUUUGAUGUAAAAGUGUUUUUGCAUUAGGCCGAUAGACUAAUGAUGGGUGACUAAUUUAUUCGAUUUUGUUUUUGUUUUACUUGUAACGUUAUUUGUUUUUGUGGGGUUAUACACAAAUGGCUUGUUAUUUCUGAUCGAAGUUUGUGCUCCCAAAUUACAGAUGUAAUGCAAUGCAGCUUGUGAAAGUGAAUAAAUGAGUAAGGACACUAACGAACGAAAUGUUCAGUCAAACGAUAUAGGCCAGCUAUUUCACUAAAACAGUACACAAACAUAGGCCCAUUAUAAAUACACUUAUUAUGUAUAAAUACGAAAGAUAAUGCUCAAUAUUUCAUAGAUUUCCUUGGUUGUAAUUUGAAUUCUUAGGCCUAUUUAUACUGGUAAAAAUAUAACAUACUCGAGUAUAACAGCUGGCUGAAAUUGGAUUGGAUUUUAUUGGAUUUUAUUUGGUGUUAAAUACACCAAGAAUAACCCAUGGAAGCCAGAAGACUUGCUUCCCGUAGAGAUCUGAUGGUGAAAUUCACCUAUAUACUAUAUCAAUUUAGUAUUGCAAUUUUGAUUUGGGGUUAAGAUUCUCUUAUGAUUGAGAUCGAUCGAGUUUAGAAACAAAAAAAUGUACGGUUAAUUAAACGCUAAAUCAGUUCAGUAGGAAAAAAAAGUACAGACAGGCAAUUUUUCAGCAAACGAAGGUUGUUUUUUUUUUCUGUAGGCUACCAAUAGUUAUUGGCUUUAUCCAGUCUAAUUUGCAUAUAAAUUGUAACAUUCCUUGAGAAAUCCUCUGAAUUAUAAGCAAUCACGGAUUUACUGUGGUAUCUUGUCGUGUAUUCCCCUCUUGUUAGGAGAUUAUCGUCCGUUUUCAAUUAUCCGCCCGAAAGUAUUAGUAGGACCACUUACAAACAUCAUAAUCGGUACUUAAUCGCUGGAAAACAAUUGAGAAUAAUAUAAAUGGAAACAUUGGCAAACUAAAAUUACUAAAAAUAAAAAUUAAUUAAAAAAAAUAUUAUA
rnacentral:lncRNA from 1 species